AAUUGGAGACGACGGAGAGUCAAGCGGAUGUCCAGGAGGAGCUCUUGGGACAGACGGCGCGGGCGGCCCGGCGUCUCCUGUCUCUGGCAGGACUGUGAGGCGGCACUUAGCGCCCUGGUCGCUCGCGCCCCGCCGACGCCUCCUUUUUCUCUCCCUACCUCUGCGCUCUGCGGCCGCCGCUGAGAUCUGGGACGGCGGCACAUCCAGCCCGGGAGACGACUGGCUAGGAAAUAGAACUGUUAGUAUUUUGAAGCCCAGAUCCCCUUUCGUUUUGGUGUUCACUACUAUUAUUGCCCUCCUCAAAAACUAAAAGGUUCAUUUGAGCUAGAUUUAACUUGGUUAUCUGAGAAGAAAAUUUUUUUAAAAGAGGGGGGAUGGUGUGAUUAGAGGGGACCGGUAAGACGCCCUUUUCUGUAAGUCCGCUUUAUCCACCUCUUGUCAUUAUUGCUUUGCAAGGAUUGGAUUUCAGGGAAAACUAAGGUUUCCCAAAUGUUCAAACCACCUAUUUUAAGCCGAGUUUAGUUUACAGGGUUUAAAGAGUCAUUUAUUCACAUUUCUCCAUGUAAUUAUCGGCAAUCACAUUUUACUCAUGAUCUACUUUGUGCUAGGCUUUCAAAAAGCAAAGUUGCAGAAGAUAUACUUGACAAGUUGAUAUUACACUCUAGGUCUAGGUACAGUCUCUGUUUAAGGCAGCUUGUUUGCCACGUUCCUGUCACUUUCUCAAAUAUGUUCCAAAUAACAAGCAUCUUUAAAGCAUUCCUAAAUCGAGAAUGGUGAUGAAUCUACUGGACAGAGGGUGAGGAAAGAUUA
rnacentral:lncRNA from 1 species